rnacentral:rRNA from 1 species
GACGAACGCUGGCGGCGUGCCUAAUACAUGCAAGUAGAACGCUGAAGAGAGGAGCUUGCUCUUCUUGGAUGAGUUGCGAACGGGUGAGUAACGCGUAGGUAACCUGCCUUGUAGCGGGGGAUAACUAUUGGAAACGAUAGCUAAUACCGCAUAACAAUAGGUGACACAUGUCAUUUAUUUGAAAGGGGCAAUUGCUCCACUACAAGAUGGACCUGCGUUGUAUUAGCUAGUAGGUGAGGUAACGGCUCACCUAGGCGACGAUACAUAGCCGACCUGAGAGGGUGAUCGGCCACCCUGGGACUGAGACACGGCCCAGACUCCUACGGGAGGCAGCAGUAGGGAAUCUUCGGCAAUGGGGGCAACCCUGACCGAGCAACGCCGCGUGAGUGAAGAAGGUUUUCGGAUCGUAAAGCUCUGUUGUAAGUCAAGAACGAGUGUGAGAGUGGAAAGUUCACACUGUGACGGUAGCUUACCAGAAAGGGACGGCUAACUACGUG